rnacentral:rRNA from 1 species
AUCCGCGGCCGCUGCAGAGUUUGAUCCUGGCUCAGAGCGAACGCUGGCGGCGUGCCUAACACAUGCAAGUCGAGCGGACUGUAAAGAGGGGUAACUCUCUUUGCAGUUAGCGGCGCACGGGUGAGUAACACGUGGGUAACCUACCCUUAGGAGAGGGAUAACCCGAGGAAACUUGGGCUAAUACCUCAUAAGACCACAGGCUGAAAUGCUCGUGGUAAAAGGAGCAAUCCACCUAAGGAUGGGCCCGCGGCUAUCAGGUAGUUGGUAGGGUAAUGGCCUAACCCAAGCCUAUGACGGGUAGCCCAGCUGAGAGGCUGGCCGGGCACAUUGGGGACUGAGACACGGCCCAGACUUCUAAGA